AUUGAACGCUGGCGGCAGGCCCAACACAUGCAAGUCGAGCGGAUGAAGGGAGCUUGCUCCUGGAUUCAGCGGCGGACGGGUGAGUAAUGCCUAGGAAUCUGCCUGGUAGUGGGGGAUAACGUCCGGAAACGGGCGCUAAUACCGCAUACGUCCUGAGGGAGAAAGUGGGGGAUCUUCGGACCUCACGCUAUCAGAUGAGCCUAGGUCGGAUUAGCUAGUUGGUGGGGUAAAGGCCCACCAAGGCGACGAUCCGUAACUGGUCUGAGAGGAUGAUCAGUCACACUGGAACUGAGACACGGUCCAGACUCCUACGGGAGGCAGCAGUGGGGAAUAUUGGACAAUGGGCGAAAGCCUGAUCCAGCCAUGCCGCGUGUGUGAAGAAGGUCUUCGGAUUGUAAAGCACUUUAAGUUGGGAGGAAGGGCAGUAAGUUAAUACCUUGCUGUUUUGACGUUACCAACAGAAUAAGCACCGGCUAACUUCGUG
rnacentral:rRNA from 1 species